CCUACGGGAGGCAGCAGUGAGGAAUCUUGGUCAAUGGACGAGAGUCUGAACCAGCAAAGCCGCGUGAAGGAUGACUGCCCUAUGGGUUGUAAACUUCUUUUAUAAAGGAAUAAAACGUGGCACGUGUGCCUUUUUGCAUGUACUUUAUGAAUAAGGAACGGCUAACUCCGUGCCAGCAGCCGCGGUCCUACGGAGGAUCCGAGCGUUAUACGGAUUUAUUGGGUUUAAAGGGAGCGUAGAUGGGUUGUUAAGUCAGUUGUGAAAGUUUGCGGCUCAACCGGAAAAUUGCAAUUGAUACUGGCAGUCUUGAGUACAGGAGAGGAAGGCGGAAUUCGUGGUGUAGCGGGGAAAUGCGUAGAUAUUACGAGGAACACCGAUGGCGAAGGCAGCUUACUAAACUGUGACUGACGUUGAUGCGCGAAAGUGUGGGUAGCAAACAGGAUUAGAUACCCCUGUAGUC
rnacentral:rRNA from 1 species